UAAUGAUUGAUGCCAACUAUGUACCUAUUCCUUGAAAGGAAAACAGUCUACAGUGUAGCUCUUCCACGUUACUACCAAAAGGCCCUAGACUUUUAAGGAUGUGCCUGUAGUUGGUAACAGAGAAUUUGUAUGCUUUCAUAUCAGCUUAGUUGAACCAUACGCUAAGCUAAGUGCUCUGUAUUUCUCGAGUAGUGAAUGCACUAUCAUGACUGUGAAACUCAGUUAAGAUCUGAAAACAAAUCUGGAAGGAUUGGUAAAGAGCACACAUCUCUAAAAGUAUCUGCAGCUGCUCCAGUUAGAGUAAACCUGUCACUCUAGUGAAAGUAUAGAAUAACACUACAGAGAUUGGUCUCCUGGAAUUUUAUGAUCUUUCUUUCUGUAGGUACAGGAUGGUUUGGAUGUUAUGUUUUGAAUGCUCUGCUUUAAAUUCUACAUUGACUGUAACUGUUCACAGGAGGUUUUUUGCUAGCUCCAAAUGGGAGUCAAGUGCAACUUAUUCUCCUAACUCUUCAUUGCUGCCUCUGUCAGUAUAUUAGACUGAGGCUAUAAGCAGAAUUGCCUCUUAUGAUGUAGCUGUAACUACAGAAAGUGGUCUCUCACAUUCAUUGUCAAAGAUGACUUGAUAUAUAAAGUUUCUGUUCUGGUAUAAUAAUGCUGAGUGGGUUGAUGCCACAAUCUACUGAUCAGGAAUUUUCUACUUGCCUUUCCUGAGGGUCUAUCUGUCCAUCAUAUUGAUUUUCCUGUAUGUAUUUUGCUGCAUGUAUAGUAUUGCAAACUAUACAUACCAUUUCCAGAAUAUCUACAUCAGUGCAUGAUAGAUAUCCAGCACAUCCUCUGCUGCUAAGGGCUCAAAAUGAGAGCUUAAACAGUAACUUCCUUGUAAACUACAGGCUUAGGUCAUUCUGAAUCACCUUCCUACCGAAUUACAUCUACUCUGCAUGAAAUAAUUAAAUUAGUCUGUUUGAUGAUGGAAAGAUCAGGAUCUCUAGAGAAUUGAAUAUGUUGAAGGGAGACAUCCAGAUUGGUGCAGGUAGCAGUGUGAACCUAGCAUUUGGUUGAUGGCUUUCACUUUCUGGCCAAUCAGCCUGGACUCAGGAACAGUAUAUUUUGUGUUACCUGCUGUAAGCAUGAGUGAGAGGUUAUUGCACUGAUAAAGGGAAGAGAAAGCUUUUGGGGAGAGUAAGAACUAUUGUUGAGUGAGUAGUAGGAAAUAAAUCAGGAGGAAGCUGCGCUUUUAGUUCUACUACAGAUCUAAUGUAUUGUUUGGCAGGAAAGGCCUUGGCUUUGGGGUCCUCUUCAUGUGUGUUACCCACCUGUAUAAGGACAUGGAAAUUGUUUCUCAGUGGCUAACAUGAAUUAUAUUGUUUUAUGAAUGGGAUGAGUUUAAUAUUCCUUUUUACUAUAUUGUGUAGUCUAAAAAAUGGCUUUUUCCCCCUCUUGUAGUAGAUACCACUUCAUACACUGCAGAUCUGCUGUUUUCACCUACCUCUUUCUUUUUGUGCUAUCAUGCAUUGCUUCUGCAUGCUGUUCUUGUUUCAGGUGGUAACUACAUUUGUCUUAGUAGAGGAAAUGAUGCAAAAAGAUUUAGAAGGAAAUUCUUAUCAGAAUAACCAGCUGCUAAAGAUGAUUCUGACCAUGCAUCAGUUUAUCAUCUCUUCUGCAGAUAUGCUCCAGAAACUCAGUGAUCUUUAUCUUAGCGCUUUAGAGAAGAAGUCAUCCGUGCUGUGUGUAAAGAUAUGCUAUUUUGUAAGGUAUUGGAUUACAGAGUUUUGGAUUAUGUUCAAAAUGGACUCUAAACUAUCAACAACCAUGGAGGCAUUUCAAGAACUGGUUAAAGCUAAUGGUGAGGAGUUGCACUGUCGUCUAAUCGACACAACUCAAAUAAAUUCCAGGGACUGGUCUAGAAAGCUGACACAACGUGUAAAGGCUAACAGCAGUAAGAAACGGAAAGUUUCACUCCUUUUUGAUCACCUUGAGCCAGAAGAGCUGUCAGACCAUCUUACCUAUCUUGAAUUUAAGUCCUUCAGAAGAAUAUCAUUCUCAGAUUAUCAGAGCUACAUUGUGAAUAGCUGUGUGAAAGAGAAUCCAACAAUGGAAAGAUCAAUUGCUCUUUGCAAUGGUAUCUCUCAGUGGGUGCAGCUAAUGGUUCUCAGUAGACCAACACCACAGCUUCGAGCUGAAGUAUUUAUCAAGUUCAUUCACGUUGCACAGAAGCUUCACCAGUUGCAGAAUUUCAACACAUUAAUGGCAGUGAUAGGAGGUCUCUGUCACAGUUCCAUUUCCAGACUCAAGGAAACAAGCUCAUGUGUUCCUCAUGAUGUAAUUAAGGUGUUUAAUGAAAUGACAGAACUGCUUUCAUCUUGCAGAAACUAUGACUGUUAUCGACGUGCUUAUAAUGAGUGCACUAACUUUAAGAUCCCAAUCCUUGGGGUCCACCUGAAAGACUUGAUAUCACUUCAUGAGGCUAUGCCAGAUUACUUAGAGGACAAAAAAAUUAACAUAUGCAAACUGUACUCUCUCUAUAACCACAUAAAUGAGCUAAUACAGCUCCAGGAAAUGCCACUUCCCCUGGAGGCUAAUAUGGACCUUGUUCAUUUGCUUACGCUGUCCCUUGAUCUGUACUACACAGAAGAUGAAAUUUAUGAACUUUCAUAUGCACGAGAGCCAAGAAGUCACCGAGCUGCUCCUUUGACACCUUCCAGACCACCAGUAGUGGCAGACUGGGCCUCAGGAGUAGCCCCAAAACCUGAUCCGAAAACAGUCAGCAAACAUGUUCAGAGGAUGGUGGAUUCUGUCUUCAAAAAUUACGACCAUGAUCAGGAUGGUUACAUUUCUCAAGAGGAAUUUGAAAAGAUAGCAGCCAGUUUUCCAUUCUCAUUUUGUGUAAUGGCUAAGGACUCGGAAGGUCUGAUUAGCAGGGAUGAAAUAACCGCUUACUUUAUGAGGGCUAGCUCAAUCUAUUCCAAAUUAGGACUUGGCUUUUCUCACAACUUCCAGGAGACCACUUACUUAAGACCUACUUUCUGUGACAACUGUGCUGGAUUUCUAUGGGGAGUAAUUAAACAAGGAUUCAGAUGCAAAGACUGUGGAAUGAAUUGCCACAAGCAAUGCAAAGACCUGAUUGUGAUAGAGUGCAAGAGAAGACACAAAACUUCUGUUGCAGACAGCAGCCCAACAUCUGCUCUUGCUUCAAGCCUCUGCACAGUAGCAGUUAAAGAGCAAUUCCAUGGACAAGAAGAAGGACCAUUCACAUUUCCAAAUGGAGUAGUAGAACACAAUGAAGACAGCAAGGACCGAACUAUUAUGCUCAUGGGCUCCUCAGCUCAGAAAAUCUCAGUAAGAUUGAAACCAGCCGUAGUUCAUAAAGGUAUACAGACAGACUCCACACUGCUGGCUGCUGAUGUAUCACAUAGGUCAAUGGAGAAGAAAGAGAAAAGGAUACUAGAAAAUCCUUAUCUCCAGCCCAUCCCACCAUCCCCACGUCCAAGCCCAUUACUAAGCCGUAAAAAAGCAUAUGUUAAAUGGGAAAACAAGGAAUCCAGUCAGAAAACGAAGGAGGAGCAUCACGAGCAUCACAGCUAUAAACCCUCAUACCAGGAACUUGAGCGGGAAAGAAAUAUUCUAAAGGCAGACAAUGAAGGUUUAAAGAUGCAACUGGAGCAGGCACAUAAAACAAUUGAAUCUCUUACGAUUCAGAGAAAAAAUCAUGUUAUUGACAAUCUACAACACAAAGACUGCUCCUAGCAGAUGAGGGGAAGCUUCUUCUGGAAGAACGUAAGACUGAAGGGAACAACUGUGAAAAAGCUGCUUUACCGAGUGAACCGGAAAGACACUCCAAAAGAUUUUAAAACAGAAAUACUCUCUUUAUUCUAUACAUUUCCCUACUGAAAACACACUCCCAAGUCUAUAAAUGAAUUCCUUCAAUUUAAGGUAUGUUAGCAUCAUCUGCACAAUGAACACAGUAUCUUCUGGGAUUGUAUUUGAAAGGAGUGGCACUGUUCCUGAAGCUUAUGUACGUGAUGACCAUGUGGAUUCUACAGUGACUUGGCUGCACAUCUCACGCUACAAGUGCUCUAAGUAGCUACUCAUAAGACUGUCACUUCAAAUUUGGCCCAAAUUCAGGCUCAGCUGUGUUUCAUAUACGUACAGAAAGGAAGAAAAAAUGAAAUGUUCAUACCCCAACUACUGUUUAUUUUCUAAGUAUGAAUUCUGAUCCUUAAAAGAUGAAAGUAAGUAGACUGAAUGAUCUAACAAUGAAAAGGCCAGAGCUAAUGUUAAUACUGAAGACCACUGCCUUUAAAAUAGCUUACAUAAACUUUUGAAAAUACAAAACAAUAUUACCUUUUGGAAUUCUUUGUUACAGUAGCAAUCUGUUAUCCUGUGGGAACUGAUCUCUACUCCAUUUUUGUUUCAGUGCUACUAAUGAAGAUUGAAAAAGUGUACAGACUGUAAACAUUUAUAUAAAGUGUAAGAAAUCAGUUUAAUAUUUAUAAUAGAAAAAAAAAUGUUAAAAUUGUACUUUGCCUCUGAGUUUGUAUCUAAAAGAAAGAAAACUUAACAACAUAUAUUCAUUUUCCUCGAGUCUAUCAUUUGGGACACUUCUGCAGGACUGACCUGGUAUAUGUGAGUCUCAAGUCUACAUUUACAUUCUUGAGCCUGAGGACACCAAGAGAACUUGGGAAGCUGGGCAUUUUCAGAUUACUUUUUCAGAAUUUAGUGGCUGAGACAAUACAGACACUGUUUUGCCAUUACACUGUUCAAGGUAUUCCCAAGCACAGUUCUUCAUUAGCAUUAUCUCUUGCUUUUGUUAAGAACAUUCAUUCACAAAAAGAUGUUACAGCAUGAUAGGUAAGCUUAAACAAGGCUUCUGCAAUUUCUACUAGGGCUCGUACACAGGCAGCGUCACGUCAUCCUGAACCUUUGCUAUUCUUUACCUUACUGCAGAACUCAAAACACUGUAUCUCAUGCCUGUUUUUAUGUCAGGUAGUGAACAUCAAAAUAUCUGAGGGAAGGGAGGGAAGAAGAAGAGGGUGCUAACUACUGAAAAACACCAUUCCUACUUACAGGCAAAUCUGCUCUCCCAACUUUGCACAUACAGAGCAAGGUGUGUUUUGCCUCAGAAUUAUAGAAGUGGAAAAAAAAAAAAAAAAAAAAAAA